rnacentral:rRNA from 1 species
UACGUAGGUGGCAAGCGUUGUCCGGAUUUAUUGGGUUUAAAGGGUGCGUAGGCGGUCUUGUAAGUCAGUGGUGAAAUACGGCAGCUCAACUGUCGAGGUGCCAUUGAUACUGUAGGACUUGAGUACAGACGAGGUAGGCGGAAUUGACGGUGUAGCGGUGAAAUGCUUAGAUAUCGUCAAGAACACCGAUAGCGAAGGCAGCUUACUCGGCUGUAACUGACGCUGAGGCACGAAAGUGUGGGGAUCAAACAGG